GUAACGACCCGAAAAUCGGACCGCUACCGGCGCUAGGAUCCGGGUCGACUUAAGGCCGCCGGGACCCGUAGCAAGCCUGACAUAAGACCUGUAAACCUGUAUAAUCCCAUACAUGAUCAACAAUAAGCAUAAAAAUUAAAACUUUCCUUUGCAUACUCAUCAACCAAACUCAACCUGUGCAUAAACAUUAACAUAACCUUGAUCCCUCUGUGGGAUCUCAUCUGUGCCCUCAAUGGGUAACAUACAUCUGUUGAGUUGGUUUACAUAAACAUCAACAAAAUCUCUAAGAUCAUGUAUAAAAGGGAUACAACAAUCUAUGGUCAAGCACAUACUAACAUCCAUAAAACUCAUUACAUAACUAUACUGUACUUUUACAUUACAAUUUGAUCAUGUCCAUUGCUAGCUAUUACAUAAACAUGACUUCUUUACUCUAUCCGGACUCCCGCACUAUACUGUACCUGCAAGCCUGGGGGUAAAGGGAGAGGGG
rnacentral:lncRNA from 1 species